rnacentral:rRNA from 1 species
GGUUAAGUGACUAAGCGUACACGGUGGAUGCCUUGGCAGUCAGAGGCGAUGAAAGACGUAGUAACUUGCGAUAAGCCCAGAUUAGGUAGUAACAACCAUUUGAGUCUGGGAUUUCUGAAUGGGGAAACCCACGUGCAUAAGCACGUAUCCUUACCUGAAUACAUAGGGUAAGGAGGCGAACCGGGGGAACUGAAACAUCUAAGUACCCCGAGGAAAAGAAAUCAACCGAGAUUCCGAAAGUAGCGGCGAGCGAAAUUGGACUAGCCCUUAAGCUUUACACGCGUUAGACGAACGGUCUGGAAAGUCCGACGAUACAGGGUGAUAGUCCCGUAGUUGACGACGUGUGUUCAGUGAAAUCGAGUAGGGCGGGACACGUGAUAUCCUGUCUGAAUAUGGGGGGACCAUCCUCCAAGGCUAAAUACUACUGACUGACCGAUAGUGAACCAGUACCGUGAGGGAAAGGCGAAAAGAACCCCUGUGAGGGGAGUGAAAUAGAACCUGAAACCGUGUACGUACAAGCAGUAGGAGCAGGCUUUGUCCUGUGACUGCGUACCUUUUGUAUAAUGGGUCAGCGACUUAUAUUCAGUGGCAAGGUUAACCAUCUAGGGGAGCCGUAGGGAAACCGAGUCUUAACUGGGCGUUCAGUCUCUGGAUAUAGACCCGAAACCAGGUGAUCUAGCCAUGGGCAGGUUGAAGGUUGAGUAACAUCAACUGGAGGACCGAACCGACUAAUGUUGAAAAAUUAGCGGAUGACUUGUGGCUAGGGGUGAAAGGCCAAUCAAACCUGGAGAUAGCUGGUUCUCCCCGAAAGCUAUUUAGGUAGCGCCUCGGACGAAUACUACUGGGGGUAGAGCACUGUUAAGGCUAGGGGGUCAUCCCGACUUACCAACCCUUUGCAAACUCCGAAUACCAGUAAGUACUAUCCGGGAGACACACGGCGGGUGCUAACGUCCGUCGUGGAGAGGGAAACAACCCAGACCGCCAGCUAAGGUCCCAAAUUACUACUAAGUGGGAAACGAUGUGGGAAGGCUCAGACAGCCAGGAUGUUGGCUUAGAAGCAGCCAUCAUUUAAAGAAAGCGUAAUAGCUCACUGGUCGAGUCGGCCUGCGCGGAAGAUGUAACGGGGCUAAGUAGUAAACCGAAGCUGCGGCAAUAUACUUUUGUAUAUUGGGUAGGGGAGCGUUCUGUAAGCGGUUGAAGGUGUGUGGUAACGCAUGCUGGACGUAUCAGAAGUGCGAAUGCUGACAUGAGUAACGAUAAAGGGGGUGAAAAACCUCCUCGCCGGAAGACCAAGGGUUCCUGUCCAACGUUAAUCGGGGCAGGGUAAGUCGACCCCUAAGGCGAGGCCGAAAGGCGUAGUCGAUGGGAAACGGGUUAAUAUUCCCGUACUUCUUACAAUUGCGAUGGGGGGACGGAGAAGGCUAGGUGGGCCUGGCGACGGUUGUCCAGGUUCAAGUGCGUAGGCUUGAGAGUUAGGUAAAUCCGGCUCUUUCUAAGGCUGAGACACGACGUCGAGCACCUACGGGUGUGAAGUCAUUGAUGCCAUGCUUCCAGGAAAAGCCUCUAAGCUUCAGAUUGUAAGGAAUCGUACCCCAAACCGACACAGGUGGUCGGGUAGAGAAUACCAAGGCGCUUGAGAGAACUCGGGUGAAGGAACUAGGCAAAAUGGUACCGUAACUUCGGGAGAAGGUACGCUCUCGACGGUGAAGUCCUUCGCGGAUGGAGCUGUUGAGAGUCGCAGAUACCAGGUGGCUGCAACUGUUUAUUAAAAACACAGCACUGUGCAAAAUCGUAAGAUGACGUAUACGGUGUGACGCCUGCCCGGUGCCGGAAGGUUAAUUGAUGGGGUUAGACUUCGGUCGAAGCUCUUGAUCGAAGCCCCGGUAAACGGCGGCCGUAACUAUAACGGUCCUAAGGUAGCGAAAUUCCUUGUCGGGUAAGUUCCGACCUGCACGAAUGGCGUAAUGAUGGCCACGCUGUCUCCACCCGAGACUCAGUGAAAUUGAAAUCGCUGUGAAGAUGCAGUGUACCCGCGGCUAGACGGAAAGACCCCGUGAACCUUUACUACAGCUUGGCACUGAACAUUGACCCUACAUGUGUAGGAUAGGUGGGAGGCUUUGAAGCACGUACGCCAGUAUGUGUGGAGCCGUCCUUGAAAUACCACCCUUGUAGUGUUGAUGUUCUAACGUCGACCCCUAAUCGGGGUUGCGGACAGUGCCUGGUGGGUAGUUUGACUGGGGCGGUCUCCUCCCAAAGAGUAACGGAGGAGCACGAAGGUGGGCUAAUCACGGUUGGACAUCGUGAGGUUAGUGCAAUGGCAUAAGCCCGCUUGACUGCGAGAAUGACAAUUCGAGCAGGUGCGAAAGCAGGUCAUAGUGAUCCGGUGGUUCUGAAUGGAAGGGCCAUCGCUCAACGGAUAAAAGGUACUCCGGGGAUAACAGGCUGAUACCGCCCAAGAGUUCAUAUCGACGGCGGUGUUUGGCACCUCGAUGUCGGCUCAUCACAUCCUGGGGCUGAAGUCGGUCCCAAGGGUAUGGCUGUUCGCCAUUUAAAGUGGUACGCGAGCUGGGUUUAGAACGUCGUGAGACAGUUCGGUCCCUAUCUGCCGUGGGCGUUGGAAGAUUGAAGGGGGCUGCUCCUAGUACGAGAGGACCGGAGUGGACGAACCUCUGGUGUUCGGGUUGUGUCGCCAGACGCAUUGCCCGGUAGCUAAGUUCGGAAUCGAUAACCGCUGAAAGCAUCUAAGCGGGAAGCGAGCCCUGAGAUGAGUCUUCCCUGAUACUUUAAGUAUCCUAAAGGGUUGUCGGAGACUACGACGUUGAUAGGUCAGGUGUGUAAGUGCUGUGAGGCAUUGAGCUAACUGAUACUAAUUGCCCGUGAGGCUUAACCAU